rnacentral:rRNA from 1 species
UGAGGAAUAUUGGUCAAUGGGCGAGAGCCUGAACCAGCCAAGUCGCGUGAGGGAUGACGGCCCUACGGGUUGUAAACCUCUUUUGCCGGGGAGCAAUGCUCCGCACGAGUGCGGAGCGGGAGAGUACCCGGAGAAAAAGCAUCGGCUAACUCCGUGCCAGCAGCCGCGGUAAUACGGAGGAUGCGAGCGUUAUCCGGAUUUAUUGGGUUUAAAGGGUGCGUAGGCGGAACGCCAAGUCAGCGGUAAAAAGUUCGGGGCUCAACCCCGUCGUGCCGUUGAAACUGGUGUCCUUGAGUGGGCGAGAAGUAUGCGGAAUGCGUGGUGUAGCGGUGAAAUGCAUAGAUAUCACGCAGAACUCCGAUUGCGAAGGCAGCAUACCGGCGCCCGCACUGACGCUGAAGCACGAAAGCGUGGGUAUCGAACAGGAUUAGAUACC